GCCUCUGUUGUCUAGUGGUGAGACGCUUUGUUGUUAUGGAACCGACUAGAAAUUAUAUUACGAAGAGUCGAGGGUCCGAAUCCCUCCUGAGGCA